GGAUAUAGUUCAGUGGUAGAGUGUGUGCCUAGCAUGCAUGAGGUCCUGGGUUCAAUCCCCAGUACAGCCA
rnacentral:tRNA from 1 species